GACGCGUUUAAUCAAGGGGUGCAAAGUCAGCAAGAGGGCCAAGCCAGAGCCCGCUGGCACAGAGGAUGCCUGAUCCACAUUUAACGCUGCAAUACCAGGUCACUGGGAUGAAAGCUAUCAGGCCAGAAGACUCUCCGCAGCCUGGAACUGGUCUUGGAGAGCCAUGGAAGGAAGCAGCCGCUACACUCAACCACAGGGAGACGCCUCCCAAAGGCUGCCAGGGCGCGUCUUUCAUCCCGGUCUCAAGGAUCCGUGAUCUAUGAGCCCUAGUUUUUGGGAUGAGCUGGCUGCAGACCUAGCACACAGGCUCAGCUGAUCCAGGCAGCUUUAAAGCUCCAGUAUAAAAUGAAACACGCACCCCACUCCCAGUGAGCAAAUACUUUCCCCUCUCACUAAAUUGGUUCAAGGAGGGGAAAAAGAAAGACAACCAGGUUUUUGUGUUUUUUUUUAAAGACUCUUUCUUCCAAAAAUAAAUAUAUGAGCACCCUGCUCCAGACUCAAAACCAGCAGGAGCCAGCCUGCGGUUGACAGGAGCAGCAGUA